CCUACGGGUCGCAGCAGUGGGGAAUAUUGCACAAUGGGCGCAAGCCUGAUGCAGCCAUGCCGCGUGUAUGAAGAAGGCCUUCGGGUUGUAAAGUACUUUCAGCGGGGAGGAAGGUGUUGUGGUUAAUAACCACAGCAGUUGACGUUACCCGCAGAAGAAGCACCGGCUAACUCCGUGCCAGCAACCGCGGUAAUACGGAGGGUGCAAGCGUUAAUCGGAAUUACUGGGCGUAAAGCGCACGCAGGCGGUCUGUCAAGUCGGAUGUGAAAUCCCCGGGCUCACCCUGGGAACUGCAUUGCAAACUGGCAGGCUAGAGUCUUGUAGAGGGGGGUAGAAUUCCAGGUGUAGCGGUGAAAUGCGUAGAGAUCUGGAGGAAUACCGGUGGCGAAGGCGGCCCCCUGGACAAAGACUGACGCUCAGGUGCGAAAGCGUGGGGACCAAACAGGAUUAGAUACCCCUGUAGUC
rnacentral:rRNA from 1 species